rnacentral:lncRNA from 1 species
UGGAACGAGUGGCGGUGCCUCUGGUGGGUGAUGGACUCUUACUCCGACAUGGGUAACUCGGACAGCUUUGGACAGGACGAGGCGGGCCCUGGCAGGAGACUGCGGAUGUCCAGAUGGGGACCCAGAGCCUGCUCUUGGGAACAGCCAGAGUAAGAUUGGAACCCAGACUUGCAGUCCAGCGCUGUUUGCAUUAAAAGGCAGAGGGAGGGGACCCACCCCAGUGAGGAAGUAGAUUGCUGCCUCUAGCCAGAGACCUGAACUGGGGAAUUUGAACAUUCCUUUACAUUGUUGGAGAAAUGAAGCCAAAGUUAUUCAGAUGGUUUUCCCAGGCUAAAGGAAAGUCACCUGCAAGAGAUCCCGGCACUGAUCUGGAGCAGCUGACAGGGUGGGUCUCCCUUACCAAAGAGAAGAACCACUCUCUGGCGCUGGGGUGACCUGCUGGCUGGGCCUGUAAGGUUUCCAUGUUGCUGAGGCCAUGGAGAUUCCCAGAGCUGGUCACACCGACCGCUCUCAGGGCCCGCUGCCCUGGGCUGGCAACACCAUUCUGGCCUUGGCCUGCAGAAGCUUUCAGAGUCUUCACUGGCAGUAGGGGGAGAUGGGGAGAGGAAUG